rnacentral:ncRNA from 1 species
UGUCCUCAGUCCCGGGUCGUCUCGGCGCGGUUCCGAGCGGUCGCUCCCUCGCGAGGUGCCGCGGGUCAGCGGCUGACGCCAGCCACCUUCCCGACCCGUCUUGAAACACGGACCAAGGAGUCUAACAUGUGCGCGAGCCGCGGGGCAGUACGAAACCCGUAAGGCGAAAUGAAGGUGAACGCCGGCGCGGUCCGGCGGAGGUUGGAUCCCGUCCCGUCGGGGCGGGCGCACUACCGGCCGAUCUUCUCCGCCCUGUCGGCGAGGUCGAGCGAGAGCGUGCAAGUCGGGACCCGAAAGAUGGUGAACUAUGCCUGAGGAGGUUGAAGCCAGAGGAAACUCUGGUGGAGGACCGUAGCGAUUCUGACGUGCAAAUCGAUCGUCAAAUUUGGGUAUAGGGGCGAAAGACUAAUCGAACCGUCUAGUAGCUGGUUCCCUUCGAAGUUUCCCUCAGGAUAGCUGGCGCUCUGUCGCAGUUUUAUCUGGUAAAGCGAAUGAUUAGAGGUCUUGGGGGCGAAACGCCCUCAACCUAUUCUCAAACUUUAAAUUGGUAAGAAGCCCGACUCGCUCGUUUGGAGCCGGAAAUG